UCAAAUGCACGUGUGUUUAAAAUUAUGACUUUCAGUUUUAAAUCUGAGAUUUUGUUUUUAUUACAAAGCUAUCGACAAGUUUGAUUGAAAAUAUACGUUAUAUUGUUAAAGAUGAACAGUUUACCUUCUUUGUUGUCCAAUGAAUUGGAUGGGAUUGUCAUAAAUUGUGGCCCAUUUUGGGUGUUAUAUUCAGGUCUUGGAAUGGUAUCUGAAAAAAAUUAUAUUUGGUUUAUCUUCCAAGCAGUGAGAAUCACUAGAACUAAAAAUAAAAUCAGUGAAGUUAAAAAGAAAUUAGUGAAUAGAGUUGCGUAGUCGUAAUGUUGUGGAUCAGAGUCAUCUGGCACCGUAUUUCUUUCUGCCCAUUUCCCAAAACUUGACAAUGAAUUCAUAGCGUGAUUGUUGAUCAACAAUCCUUCCUGGAGGAUGAUAUGAACGAUUCAACGAUUAGUUGUGUGAACUUCGAUGUGGGUGAACGUAGACUAAAGACAUGGUGUACUAUAUAUUGCAUUCCGUUUUUUUUAAAGAUGAACUUAGACGUUUCAUACCUGGGGCAUGGUAUGUAUCUGCAUUUUUGUGAUAACCAGAUUUACUGGAUUGGAGCCAAUAGACGAAUCUUUUAGUAAACCUGACGCCUAUGGAGACAUUGCAAUGUAUAUUAAAUCUUUGAUCAUUGUUGUGAUGCCUUGAAGUUUGACAAAU